GCAGGGGAUAAGCAUGUCUGGUUCAUUGAAAGGAGUGACUGAGAUCCGAAUCCUUGAGUCAAAUGCUGCUUCAUGGAUCUAAGAGGAGAACUUCACUUCAUGCUCAAGGCUCAAUGGCAGAGCAGCAGUCCUACCAGAUCAUAGCAGUUGGCAGCAGCAGCAACGAAUGAAACAUCCUUCUCCCAGCAGCUGCAAAUAUUUUUUUCUCCCUCUCAGAUGGCCUGCCAGAACCUCUGUGCUGGUGCCAGAAUCCUAUAGGAGAUUUUGUAACCAAAGGAAAAAACCCAAAGAGUUAAAUGAACAAGAAAUACUAAAAUGAAAACUACACUGAGCACAAAUUCUGAUUUGCCAGCU